rnacentral:rRNA from 1 species
ACUCUAAGGUGACUGCCGGCGUAAAAGUCGGAGGAAGGUGGGGAUGACGUCAAAUCAUCAUGCCCUUAUGACCUGGGCUACACACGUGCUACAAUGGGCGGUACAAAGGGUCGCGAACCCGCGAGGGGGAGCCAAUCCCAAAAAGCCGCUCUCAGUUCGGAUUGCAGGCUGCAACUCGCCUGCAUGAAGCCGGAAUCGCUAGUAAUCGCGGAUCAGCAUGCCGCGGUGAAUACGGUUCCCGGGCCUU